rnacentral:lncRNA from 1 species
AUUAAUUCUUUUGAUAGAUUGUUGACUAUAUGAUUAGAUUCUUGAAGCUCAAAUAAGAAUUCACGACUUUAUGGAUUUACCAAUUAGAAUGUCUUCGAUUUAGAUCCUACGGACUUGGAAAUUUUGCUCUAUGUUGCAAGAUCUGUCAUAAAAACUUGAAGAGGUGUCAUCCACUUAUGUAAUUUUGUAUCUUCUGUCUAUUUAUUUGGUUAUUAAUCUUUUUCAGUGGAGUCAAAUUUAUUUGAUCUAUUUUGGAACGUAUCAGUACCUCAAAUGAGCCUCUAAUUUGCCUUUUCACAUUCUCGGAAGGACUUUCUUUCAAUACAUGCACCUAAUCUUUUUUUCGGGAAUUGUAAGCUACUUUCUGGUGAAUGCUUAAAGGAUUUUGCUUCUCUGUGUCCAAAAUUUUUAAGAUUUUUAUGUUAAUGUGCUGUUGAUAUACAAGACUUUGUAUGAAUAUACAGUGAUCGGUAUAAAAUACUGAAGAAAAUUGGCUUUUAAGGAAAGUACUUCGAUUUGAACAAUAACCGUGUAGAAAGAUGAAUUCCUCCCACGCUUGGCAUAUUUCAAACAUUCUGGAAAUGUUAAGUGCACUUUGAGUUGUCAUUGUCAGUACGUAGGUUAAGGCUGUUGGUUGUCGCGGUUCCGAACCGGAACCGGACUGGAAUCAUGGCCCUGCCGGUUCUGCUGGUUCCGGCGGCCCGAUUCCGGUGGUUCCGGUUCUACCGGUUCCAGGGAACCGUCAUGGGCCGGUUCUACCCGUCGGAACCGCC